AUUGCCUCAGUAACGGCGAGUGAAGCGGCAACAGCUCAAAUUUGAAAUCUGUGCCUUUCAGGCACCGAGUUGUAAUUUGUAGAAGAUGCUUCGAGCGUGGCACCGGUCUAAGUUCCUUGGAACAGGACGUCAUAGAGGGUGAGAAUCCCGUAUGCGACUGGCCGCCUUCGUUCAUGUGAAGCUCUUUCGACGAGUCGAGUUGUUUGGGAAUGCAGCUCAAAAUGGGUGGUAUAUUUCAUCUAAAGCUAAAUAUUGGCCAGAGACCGAUAGCGCACAAGUAGAGUGAUCGAAAGAUGAAAAGCACUUUGGAAAGAGAGUUAAACAGUACGUGAAAUUGUUGAAAGGGAAGCGCUUGCAACCAGACUUGCACGCUGCCGAUCAUCUGGGGUUCUCCCCAGUGCACUCGGUUGUGUUCAGGCCAGCAUCGGUUUGGGUGGUUGGAUAAAGGCCUUGGGAAUGUAGCUCCUCUCGGGGAGUGUUAUAGCCCUCGGUGCAAUGCAGCCUACCCGGACCGAGGACCGCGCUUCGGCUAGGAUGCUGGCGUAAUGGUUGUAAGCGACCCGUCUUGAAACACGGACCAAGGAGUCUAACAUCUAUGCGAGUGUUUGGGUGUCAAACCCAUACGCGUAAUUAACGUGAACGGAGGUAAGAACCCUUAAGGGUGCAUUAUCGACCGAUCCUGAUGUCUUCGGAUGGAUUUGAGUAAGAGCAUAGCUGUUGGGACCCGAAAGAUGGUGAACUAUGCCUGAAUAGGGUGAAGCCAGAGGAAACUCUGGUGGAGGCUCGCAGCGGUUCUGACGUGCAAAUCGAUCGUCAAAUUUGGGUAUAGGGGCGAAAGACUAAUCGAACCAUUAACUACUAGGUGGUUAAUAGGGACCUGAGAAGGGCCCUCUAGUCCUGGUCGAGGGCGACAUCAUCAAAUUGCGGGGACGUCCUGAUAAGUUCUCAAGCUACCGCAGCGUUCCCGAAAGGGGCGUGCGCACCGGGUUAACAGCCCUGGGGAUGGUAACAGCGCUUGAGAUAGGGAUGAUCCGCAGCCAAGUCCUACCGGCCCUCGUGGCCCACGGAUGCAGUUCACAGACUAAAUGUUGAUGGGCAGCGUGCUGCUUAAGUUAUAGUCGGAGCGCCGGGAGACCGGUCGGGGAGGAAGGAUCGUUCAGGGUGACCACUGCACUGCAGUCCCUGUGCGUGAGAGCCUUCCCGGGGGCGUAAUGCCCUGUAUUUGUCGCUAGUAGCUGGUUCCUGCCGAAGUUUCCCUCAGGAUAGC
rnacentral:rRNA from 1 species